rnacentral:rRNA from 1 species
GAUGGCGACCGGCGCACGGGUGAGUAACACGUAUCCAACCUGCCGAUGACUCGGGGGAUAGCCUUUUCGAAAGAAAGAUUAAUACCCGAUGGCAUAGUUCUUCCGCAUGGUAGAACUAUUAAAGAAUUUCGGUCAUCGAUGGGGAUGCGUUCCAUUAGGUUGUUGGCGGGGUAACGGGCCCACCAAGCCUUCGAUGGAUAGGGGUUCUGAGAGGAAGGUCCCCCACAUUGGAACUGAGACACGGUCCAAACUCCUACGGGAGGCAGCAUG